UAUAAUUUGAUAUUUAACUUAAUCCUAAAUCCGAGUCUUAAAACUAUUCCCUAAUUCCUAUUUAAACUUAUAAGAAGUUUACGCGAGUGAAUUUUAGGCGGAGAGGUUCAAACGGAUCUAAUUAGUCCAGAGUGAACAGACCCGCACACACGCACCAGCCGUCCCAAGCCGAUCAUCCUCGGGAUCAUCCUUUUGUUCGCGGCGUGAGAUCGCGGUAAUCCGGCGGUGAGCAGGCUUGACGCGGUGAGAAUCGCUAAUCCA